rnacentral:tRNA from 3 species
GCCGGUAUAGCUCAGCUGGUAGAGCAACUGAUUUGUAAUCAGUGGGUCGGGGGUUCAAGUCCCUCUGCCGGCACCA